GACGAACGCUGGCGGCGUGCCUAAUACAUGCAAGUAGAACGCAGUUGCGAACGGGUGAGUAACGCGUAGGUAACUGCCUCAUAGCGGGGGAUAACUAUUGGAAACGAUAGCUAAUACCGCAUACUGUGAGAUGGACCUGCGUUGUAUUAGCUAGUUGGUGAGGUAAAGGCCCACCAAGGCGACGAAACAUAGCCGACCUGAGAGGGAGGCCGGCCACACCGGGACCUGACAACCGCCCAGACUCCUACGGGAGGCAGGCGGAGGGGAUCUUCGGCAAUGGGCGGCAGUCUUACCGCGCCCAGCCGCGUUGGUGAAGAAGGUUUUCGGGGCGUAAAGCUCUGUUGUUAGAGAAGCGUUACCUAACCAGAAAGGGCCGGCUAACUCCGUGCCAGCAGCCGCGGUAAUAC
rnacentral:rRNA from 1 species